rnacentral:rRNA from 1 species
UACGUAGGGGGCAAGCGUUGUCCGGAAUCAUUGGGCGUAAAGAGCGUGUAGGCGGUCCUGUAAGUCCGCUGUGAAAGUCAAGGGCUCAACCCUUGAAUGCCGGUGGAUACUGCAGGACUAGAGUCCGGAAGAGGCGGGUGGAAUUCCUGGUGUAGCGGUGAAAUGCGCAGAUAUCAGGAGGAACACCGAUGGCGAAGGCAGCUCGCUGGGACGGUACUGACGCUGAGACGCGAAAGCGUGGGGAGCAAACAGG